UACGGGGGGGGCAAGCGUUGUUCGGAAUUACUGGGCGUAAAGGGCUCGUAGGCGGCCAACUAAGUCGGAUGUGAAAUCCCCAGGCUUAACCUGGGAACUGCAUCCGAUACUGGAUGGCUUGAAUCCGGGAGAGGGAUGCAGAAUUCCAGGUGUAGCGGUGAAAUGCGUAGAUAUCUGGAGGAAUACCGGUGGCGAAGGCGGGUCUCUGGGCCGUAACUGACGCUGAGGAGCGAAAGCGUGGGGAGCGAACAGG
rnacentral:rRNA from 1 species